CAAAACUUUCAACAACGGAUCUCUUGGUUCUGGCAUCGAUGAAGAACGCAGCGAAAUGCGAUAAGUAAUGUGAAUUGCAGAAUUCAGUGAAUCAUCGAAUCUUUGAACGCACAUUGCGCCCGCGAGUAUUCUCGCGGGCAUGCCUGUUCGAGCGUCAUUU
rnacentral:rRNA from 1 species